CACAAAAGCAAGCCUUUAAAUCUGAGCAUCUGAAACUGACUGGGCGUAAGAAACGACUGGAAUAUUGCAGCAUGCGGAGAAGAGGCAAGUAUAAAGAUCUAGCCAUGUUUGUUGGGCAUAUACCAGAGGCACCACAUUAUAACUGGCAACAGCAAACAGAUGAGAAUCUUGGGGGGUGGGGGUUUCCUAAGAAAUUGUAAUCUAGCUACAGAAGGGCAAUGACUACCCAUGGAAAACCUAAAGGAAACUGAGAAAUCACAAAUGAGCAAGUUCUGCUUGUCUCUUUCCUGUGUUGAGGCCAUCAUGGCUACAUCAGGCCCUUCCUGGUCUAGCAGGGCAAACUUUGGCUGCCUCUUCCUCCACCAGGCCUCCUCUGGCACUCUGAACUCCACAGUAAGAGACCUCCUCUGGCUUGCCAAGCACAGAAGCAGUGUGUCUCCCCCAUCCCUACACGAGCUGCCUGUCAUUCCUAUCCCUCACUCCAUCUUCAUGGUGUCUCCUGACGCUGUUGGUGUCUCAUCCAGGACAUGACACCAGCAAUACAGGGAUCCUUGAAUUCAUCGACUUCCUGCAGCGCACAGCAAAACCUGGCAUGCAUGGUUUUUACCCUUUUAAAGACUCUAUUUGAAUCUGAAGAAUGUAAUUUGACUAUUUUGUACCUUUUCUCCCCCCAUGAAUUACUUUCUCCUCAUGGAAAUCUCCAUAGCUUAGAGGGUGGGGGAGGGGGUGUGGAUGGUCGAAGGGUAGAGACAGAACCAGGGGCCAGGAGAAAGCUGACAAAGCCCAGUCUUGCGGAGGGGUCUUGUGCCCGAGGAGAAACUGUUCUAGCUCUGAGCACGGGCCAACCUGGGUGCCAAUCCUGACUGCUACUUCCUGGCUCUGUGGCCUUGAGCAAGGGGCGAAACCUUCCCCCCUCUCAGUCUACUCAUCCCUACAGUAGGGAUGAUUCUUC
rnacentral:lncRNA from 1 species